rnacentral:lncRNA from 1 species
CAUAUGGAACAAAUAUCUUUGUACUUCCUUAGGCACAACAAAUAUGACAUGAUCCCUUUUAUUAUUUUUGUAUCCCUGUGGAAAUGUUCAACACCAGAACUAUGAUUCAAUUUAAGAGCCUUUAACCUUAUUUCAUGUGAUUCUCUGCUGUUUGUCAUUAAGACACUUCCGAUUAAAGGUUUAUUGACUCAGUGGAUACUCUCUAUUAUAUAUUACUUUUUUAAAAGAGCAAAGCUAACUCAUUAGUUAGAAACCAGCAAAGCAUGCAAGUGCUUUGUUCAACUGACAAAAAGAGAGAGAACCAGUGGAAAUUUACUGCUGGAAAGUAUUAUCACCAAAAGAUAUUCACCGAGCUGACAAUUUUUGACCUUUCCCAUGUUCCUUCUGAAAAUAUUUGUGUUAGAAUCAGACCUUUCAACAUACCAAAUCGCAUCUGAUUGAUUUCCCUGUGAUUUUUCAAACUCUGGAAACUGAAGUACAAGUAAAAUGGGCAAAGUUUCUCUGAAUCUUCACCACAGACCCAUAGCCACACGAAGGAUCUGACUCUUUCUUUAACCCUGACCCCACCACCAACACUAUUAAGACUGUACUUAAGUAAUAAAACUUGUGUAACUCGUGAUUCUGAAGCCCUGAAGAAGUAGAGGCAAACAAUCAAGGGAUGUGACUAAUAUCACUAACAAUGCUAACAAAAAUAGGCUUCAUCUCUGACUGGAGGGGAAUGGCUGGGUCUUCUCUCUUUCCAAGGCAGGUUAACUCAAAUCCCUACUCCAACCAUGCAUUCUCUGUGGAGCCCCCAACCUUCCCUUGCUGCAGGAGCCUUGCUGUCUGCCAUCUAAAGACCUAACAUGAUGCCAUCCCUGGACGGCUCCUGCUUCCACAGCAUCUACCCUAGAUUUCUUCUCAAGACUUAUUAUUGCUGUUUCUGGGACUCAACUUGCCACCCCAUUAUCCUUCCUUCCAUCAAAAUGUCACUGCCCUCAAUGAGUGGGAAAAAUUCCCUUCUAUGCUCCCAGAUAGGGUGUCCUGUUUUGGAGUAUGGAUUUGCCCUUUUGAACCACAGGACCUUGCCAAGCAGACUAUCUGAAGGCUUAUAUGUAUUUGUUCCUCUGACAGGGGAUACUGCAGGACAUCCCUUCGGAACAAAGGACCCACUUUACAGCAGCUGCAGGCCUGAUAGAGCAACGGAGCAGCCUUGGGGAGGCACUGCUGAGGCACCACCUUGGAGAUGAUGCUCAGUGAGAAGGAUCAACAAGACUGUGACUUUCUCAAAAGCUUCCUGAGGACAGGAAGAAGCACCUUCAGAGAAGGAGCCUUAUGAAGUUUCCAACUCAUGAAAGGGUGUUAUUGACAGUCACAGUAAGACGUUUGGAAUCCACAUGUAAACUCUGUGAUGAACAUGGCCCCGCACAGAGGACCUGAGACAUUUUGAGGAGGGCCUUCUACGUUUCUUCUCCCAGCACAUGAGGCAAGUGAACCCCACUAGUGUAGUUCUCUGUCAGUAAGAAAGAGCACAAAGUCCUGUUUCUGAACUAACAUAAAAGAAUGGAUAAUAUUGCCAGUAAUCUUGGGAA